rnacentral:rRNA from 1 species
CGGGUGAGUAACACGUGGAUAACCUACCUAUAAGACUGGGAUAACUUCGGGAAACCGGAGCUAAUACCGGAUAAUAUAUUGAACCGCAUGGUUCAAUAGUGAAAGACGGUUUUGCUGUCACUUAUAGAUGGAUCCGCGCCGCAUUAGCUAGUUGGUAAGGUAACAGCUUACCAAGGCAACGAUGCGUAGCCGACCUGAGAGGGUGAUCGGCCACACUGGAACUGAGACACGGUCCAG